AUUGAACGCUGGCGGCAGGCCUAACACAUGCAAGUCGAACGGAUCCUUCGGGAUUAGUGGCGGACGGGUGAGUAACGCGUGGGAACAUACCCAAAGGUACGGAAUAGCCUCGGGAAACUGGGAGUAAUACCGUAUGUGCUCGAAAGAGGAAAGAUUUAUCGCCUUUGGAUUGGCCCGCGUUGGAUUAGGUAGUUGGUGGGGUAAUGGCCUACCAAGCCGACGAUCCAUAGCUGGUUUGAGAGGAUGAUCAGCCACACUGAGACUGAGACACGGCCCAGACUCCUACGGGAGGCAGCAGUGGGGAAUCUUAGACAAUGGGGGAAACCCUGAUCUAGCCAUGCCGCGUGAUCGAUGAAGGCCUUAGGGUUGUAAAGAUCUUUCAGGUGGGAAGAUAAUGACUGUACCACCAGAAGAAGCCCCGGCUAACUCCGUGCCAGCCGCCGCGGUAA
rnacentral:rRNA from 1 species